rnacentral:rRNA from 1 species
ACUCCUGCGGGAGGCAGCAGUGGGGAAUAUUGGACAAUGGGCGAAAGCCUGAUCCAGCAAUGCCGCGUGAGUGAUGAAGGCCUUAGGGUUGUAAAGCUCUUUUACCCGGGAUGAUAAUGACAGUACCGGGAGAAUAAGCCCCGGCUAACUCCGUGCCAGCAGCCGCGGUAAUACGGAGGGGGCUAGCGUUGUUCGGAAUUACUGGGCGUAAAGCGCGCGUAGGCGGCUUUGUAAGUUAGAGGUGAAAGCCCGGAGCUCAACUUCGGAAUUGCCUUUAAGACUGCAUCGCUAGAAUCGUGGAGAGGUGAGUGGAAUUCCGAGUGUAGAGGUGAAAUUCGUAGAUAUUCGGAAGAACACCAGUGGCGAAGGCGACUCACUGGACACGUAUUGACGCUGAGGUGCGAAAGCGUGGGGAGCAAACAGGAUUAGAAACCCGAGUAGUCC